rnacentral:tRNA from 16 species
UCAAUCGUGCUAAGCGCAGGCCUCGCAAUCAAAAGAUCGUGGGAUCUAUUCCCGGAUUG